GCUGAAGUCGGCGAGGGUUGCCGACUUCAGCCCCGUGUCUCACAUUCUUCCCUCUUAAAAAAAAUUUCGUCCUCGAAAUUUAACAUACCUUAGCUUGCAAAAAGGUCCGGAUAUUUUUCUUUCAUCUCGUCCUCCAGCUCCCACGUGGCCUCUCGUUCUGAGUGAUUGCUCCACUGGAUCUUAACAUAAGGAAUCGUGCGCCUCCUCAACACUUGCUCUUUUCUAUCAACCACACGUACAGGCUGCUCAGGAUAUGUCAAAUCUUCUCUAAGCUGCAAAGGGG
rnacentral:lncRNA from 1 species